GAUGGGGACAGGUGACACCCACCAUGGUGUUGGGGACAGGUGACACGUACCAUGGUGAUGCUGGCGGCGUCCUCGUACUCCUUGGUGAUGACGCUCACUAGAGCCGAGGCCAGCAGCAGCAGGAUGAGGGGGUUUUUGAACUGAGAGCACAAGGAAAAUGUGGAGGGAGAGGUGCUGAAGGCACUGCUCCCCGUUUGCAGAUACAAAGCUGAUUCCAAAAGCUUCUUAGAUGCACAAUGUUAUCUGCACCCUCAGGGAGCUGCAGAGGAGCCUCACAGUGGUUUUUCCCAGGAGAAGGAGCAGUUCCUGUGCCCAGGGCACAGCCUGUUCCAAGGCUCAGCCUCUGGAAGUAGAAACCCCGAAUAUUUCAAUGCAGGCACACACUCAGAGUAACCCAGGCAGGUUUUGUUUCUGCCAAGAAAUAAAGAUCUGUGCAGAAAAUC